UUUUCUUAUAAUAUUAAGUCAUUAUAGUACUAGUAUUAUUAAUAGUUAUACGUUCAAAAAAAUAUACUUCAAUUCCCAAAAUUUAAGUUAAAUAAUAUAUUAAAUUUAUAUGCAUAACCAGAAGUCUAGACAAUUGUGUCUUAUUUGUUUUAUUCAGAAUGGUUUUUUAAAUAUCUGGCAAGUACAAAUAACUUACCGACAAUUAAUUCAAACCGUAAUGAUAUCACUGUUAUAGUUUUCUAUUAAUAUAUAUGUUGUAAUUAUAUUUUUUAAACCCGUUAGUUUUAUUUUGGAAAUUACUCAGUAGUAAAAAAAUUCAUGCUUAAAAAAAUGAAAAGUUCACAGCCAGUUUAAGUUUGAGUUGUUUACGUUGAUUUAUCAUUCUGUAGCUGGCAUUUAUGAGCUUCCAUUGUUAUACGAAUGGUUACAGAAAUAAUUAUUCACACUUUCAAACCUAUCAAUCAAUCUAUCCAUUCAGUGUAAUGGUAUUCUUGCUGGCUUUAUACAGUUUUCGGUACUUAAAUAAUUAAAUAAAUAAUAUCACAGUAUCUCUUGAGUAUUCGACAUCUUAUUGAAACAGACAACUCGAUGAAAAUCGUUUAUCAUUGUUGUGUAAUCAUUAUAUACCGAGUAAGUACAUCAUCAUGCAUUACAAAUUUUAAUUUAUAUCUUCGUGAUUAUUAUUAAUUUUUGUUAUGUUUAUUUGAUCGUUUUAUUAACUGAAAAGUUUUACAAUGGAAAUAGUUUUUAAAUAUUUUUGGCAACCCACCUCCACUAACGCUUUUUUGCUCGUGUAAUUUAUAAACGACAAGAAAUGUUGAAGAAUUUUAUGACUGCGAUGGCAAGCUUUUUAGACAACACACAGAGAGUAAAGAAAUGGCGGGGGAGUAUUCGCGGCAAUGAAAAGAAAACUUUUGGACUACCGCCAAGUUUUUUCUUUCUGAAAUUCGGUCAAUUAUCAACGACAUCAGAAUCGACUGCUUAUAUCGCUUGUGUUCUUGUUAUUUUGUUGUAACUUGUACCACAUAGUAAAUCAACAUAAAUGAAUUAGGAGUUCAUAAUUGAAACGUAAAUUUGAUACAGUUUUAAUAGUCAAGACAUAUGUUUUUUAGACAUGUUCUUCUGGAGAUCAGAUAUUUUGAGUAUAUAAGAUAAAUGAAUUUUUAAACAUUUAAUAUAAAUUUAAAUUAUGAUAUUUGUCUAUUUUAUGGUCGUACUUUACAAUUGAAUAUAUUUGAGUGGUCUUUUAUUAUUAAAUCGAAAAAUAUAUUAAAUUGAUAAUGUGUACUUAUAUCACAAAAAUAGAAAAAAAUAAUUUAUUAAUGUUUAAAAUAUUUAUAUAAUUUGUUCUUAUUUCUAGAUUUCUAGUAUCCCAAAUAUUUAUAAACAUAAAUAUUCCGUUUUUUAAAUGUUAUUACAACGACUAUUUUUAAAUAGUUAAAAAUAUUUAAAUAAUGUAAAAGUUGUGUAGAUAAUAAUGCAAUUACAUGAAUUUGUUUAGUUAAAUUCCAAAUCUUCUAGACAUAAUCGUUGAACAAAAGUUAUAAUAUAUCUAUGAUCUACAGCACGAAAACGCACAAAGGGUACCCUAUUAAAUUAAAGUAUAUAGAUAUAAGAAUAACUUUUUUUUUAAAUUAGUUUGUAUAAUCUUUUUUUAGAAAAUCGUUGAAAACAUUAAUUUAGAGAAUUUAAUUUCCGUUCAAAAAUAAUUGCAAAAAUUUGUCUGAGGGAGAGCCAAAAAAUAUAUUUUUUCAAUAUUUUAUUUCACUAACCGAUUAUUAUUUAGGGUCCUUACUUCAAAUCAAACUCAAAAAAUAAAAUAAGUCUCCUAAAAAAGUAUAAAAUAUUUUCCUCGACAAAGAUAGAAUAGACAAUAUGUAUUUGAAAAUUAUGUAAAAAAUUUGUUCUAUGUUAAUCUUAAAGUUGGGAAAGUUAAAGUAUGAUAAGCGUAAUCCUGUUUAAGGUUGUCCGCUGAAAUUUAGAAAUUAUAGCAUUAACAAAUAUUUAUCAAAUGGCAUAACAUGGAUACACCGUGUUCUAUCCAUUUGCCUGUUAAAAUGUCAUACUUAUGACAUUUUUCAAUAAUGAUACAUCAAUUAUCACAUAACAUGACAUGUUAUCACUAAAGUGUAAAAUUUUGAUACCGUUUGGUACCCGGUCUACCUCUAUUUCACGUUGUUAGAGUCAAAUUUUGAAGAAAUUAUAUGAAAUUACAUUAGAGGAUCAUACAGGUAUCUUAAUGUACGAAAAAAAUGAUUUGUUAAUAGCAGUUAAUGAAUUAAUUUCAAGAAAAAUGAUCAUAAAGCAAGCUUCUAUCAGAUAUCAUAUUUCAAAAAUAAUUUUAAUUUACCAUGCAAAAGGUGAAAGAGAUUUAAAAAUUCAAAAUUUUUGAAGACCAAUUAACUUUUUAUUAUUAGUUGAAAAAGAACAAAUCAGUUAUAUGGAAGUACCUGUAUUAAUCGUUAUUACUUUACAAAAACUUUCAUUAAAUAUGUAACAAACUGUGCAUUACUUAGUUAUGAUGAAACUCAACACAAAUCUAUGAAUAAUCCUAAAUGAAAUUAAGAAUAAUAUUACCAUAUUAAAAUUAUUUCUACAUUUUAGUCACAUUCUCCAACCUCAAGAUUUAUCAAUAUUUCAAUGUGUCAAAGUUUAAUGGGAUGCUAAGUUGUAUAAAAGGAAUAACAUUAGUAAGAAAUUACCCAAAUCAAUAUUUGUAAAAAUAACUGUAAGUGUAUGUUCCUUUAGGUUUUAUUAAAGAAGGUUUUAAAAAAAGGAGGGAUACUCUUUUAGUAAAAACUGUGUAAUUGAAAAUUAUUUGAUUCUAUUAUUUUGAAGCAAUAAAAUGCAAAGUUUGAUCUAUGUAAUUCUAAGACAAAUAUUUCUAAUGAUAAAGUAUUGCUGAAAAAGCUGAGAUAAUAACUGCCAAUGAUUACCUGGAUAAAUUGAUAGAAAAUUAUUAAGGAAACAUGAAACUAAAAAAAAAAACUAAUACCUAAACAGAAAAAAGUAA